UGGGCCAUUCCAUUUAAUAUCCGUACCCCCCCCCUGUCGAGGAUCCCUGGAAUUCUUCAGGGGUAAAGGGUUUUGAGCUUGGAAUUCUUCAGGGGUAAAGUGUUUUGAGCUUGGAAUUCUUCAGGGUAAAGUGUUUUGAGUUUGGAAUUCUUCAGGGGUAAAUGGUUUUGAGCUUGGAAUUCUUCAGGGGUAAAGGGUUUUGAGCUUGGAAUUCUUCAGGGGUGAAGAGGUUUGAGAUUGAAAUUUUUCAGAGCUUGGAAUUCUUCAGGGGUGAAGGGUUUUGAGCUUGGAAUUCUUCAGGGGCAAAAGGUUUUGAGCUUGAAAUUCUUCAGGGGUAAAGGGUUUUGAGCCUGGAAUUCUUUAGGGGUGAAGGGUUUUGAGCUUGGAAUUCUUCAGGGGUAAAAGGUUUUGAGCUUGGAAUUCUUCAGGGGUAAAGGGUUUUGAGCUUGGAAUUUUGGAAUUCUUCAGGGGUAAAAGGUUUUGAGCUUGGAAUUCUUCAGGGGUAAAGAGUUUUUAGCUUGGAAUUUUGGAAUUCUUCAGGGGUAAACAGUUUUGAGCUUGGAAUUCUUCAGGGGUAUGACAAUGAAAAACAUGUAUCCUCGACAGGGGGGGUACGGAUAUUAAAUGGAAUAGCCCAAUUUA
rnacentral:lncRNA from 1 species